GGAUCUCUUACUGGAGUCUCUGUUGAAUCAUUCCAGGAGGACAACAAGUCGUGGAAGAAGCAUGUGAAAGCUUAUAAGAGAGUUAACAAGCUCCUUGACACUAGGAGGUAUCGCAAUAUACUAGAUAUGAAUGCUGGCCUAGGAAGUUUUGCUGCAGCGCUAGAAUCAUCUAAACUAUGGGUCAUGAAUGUUGUGCCAACUAUAGCUGAAAGGGACACUCUUGGUAUAAUAUAUGAUCGAGGCCUGAUUGGCAUAUACCAUGACUG
rnacentral:misc_RNA from 1 species